rnacentral:tRNA from 1 species
CCUCUCAUGGCGUAGGGGUAACGCGCCCUAACUAGAGAUCGGGGAGUCGUGAGUUCGAUUCUCACCGAGAAGA